ACCCAGCUGACGAGUCCCAAACAGAACGAAACACGCCUUGUCCUGGAU
rnacentral:hammerhead_ribozyme from 1 species